CGUGCAGGCGGGCGGACAAGUCUGAUGUGAAAGCCCCGGGCUCAACCUGGGAAGUGCAUUGGAAACUGUUCGUCUUGAGUUCUGGAGAGGAAGGGGGAAUUCCCGGUGUAGAGGUGAAAUUCGUAGAGAUCGGGAGGAAUACCAGUGGCGAAGGCGCCCUUCUGGACGGCAACUGACGCUGAGACGCGAAAGCGUGGGGAGCAAACAGGAUUAGAUACCCUGGUAGUCCACGCUGUAAACGAUGAGCACUAGGUGUAGCGGGUACUCAUUCCUGCUGUGCCGCAGCUAACGCGUUAAGUGCUCCGCCGUGGGGAUUACGGUCGCAAGACUAAA
rnacentral:rRNA from 1 species